rnacentral:rRNA from 1 species
GACGAACGCUGGCGGCGUGCUUAACACAUGCAAGUCGAACGGAAAGGCCUGCUUUCCCUUGUGGAUUGCGGGUACUCGAGUGGCGAACGGGUGAGUAACACGUGAGUGAUCUGCCCCCAACUUGGGUAUAAGCCUGGGAAACUGGGUCUAAUUCCCGAUAGGACUGCAGGGUGGUGUCUGUGGUGGAAAACGAUUUUCUAGUGGUUGGGGAUGAGCUCGCGGCCUAUCAGCUUGUUGGUGGGGUAAUGGCCUACCAAGGCGGCGACGGGUAGCCGGCCUGGGAGGGUGGACGGCCACAUUGGGACUGAGAUACGGCCCAGACUCCUACGGGAGGCAGCAGUGGGGAAUAUUGCACAAUGGGCGGAAGCCUGAUGCAGCGACGCCGCGUGGGGGAUGACGGCCUUCGGGUUGUAAACUCCUUUCGACCGCGAGGAAGCCACCUGGUUGGAAGGGUGGUGACGGUAGUGGUAGAAGAAGCACCGGCUAACUACGUG